UGGAAGUAAAAAGUCGUAACAAGGUCUCCGUAGGUGAACCUGCGGAGGGAUCAUUACACAAAGAUAUGAAGGUAGGGUACUGGCAACAGUGCUCUGCUGAAAUAUUUUCACCCAUGUCUUUUGCGCACUUUUUGUUUCCUGGGCGAGUUUGCUCGCCACCAGGACCCCCAUAUGAACCUUUUUUGUUUUUGCACUCAGCGUCAGUACAAUAAUUUAAUCUAUUAAAACUUUCAACAACGGAUCUCUUGGUUCUGGCAUCGAUGAAGAACGCAGCGAAAUGCGAUACGUAGUGUGAAUUGCAGAAUUCAGUGAAUCAUCGAAUCUUUGAACGCACAUUGCGCCCUUUGGUAUUCCAAAGGGCAUGCCUGUUCGAGCGUCAUUUGUACCCUCAAGCUUUGCUUGGUGUUGGGCGUCUUAUUGUCUCUCCGUCUCGGGGAGACUCGCCUUAAAACAAUUGGCAGCCGGCCUACUGGUUUCGGAGCGCAGCACAAAUUUGCGCUUGCAAUCAGCCAAGGGCGGCAUCCAUGAAGCCUUUUUUCUCUCACAUUUUGACCUCGGAUCAGGUAGGGAUACCCGCUGAACUUAAGCAUAUCAAUAAG
rnacentral:misc_RNA from 1 species